UGCAGUCGAACGGUGAAGCCAAGCUUGCUUGGUGGAUCAGUGGCGAACGGGUGAGUAACACGUGAGCAACCUGCCCUGGACUCUGGGAUAAGCGCUGGAAACGGCGUCUAAUACUGGAUAUGAGCUCUCAUCGCAUGGUGGGGGUUGGAAAGAUUUUUCGGUCUGGGAUGGGCUCGCGGCCUAUCAGCUUGUUGGUGAGGUAAUGGCUCACCAAGGCGUCGACGGGUAGCCGGCCUGAGAGGGUGACCGGCCACACUGGGACUGAGACACGGCCCAGACUCCUACGGGAGGCAGCAGUGGGGAAUAUUGCACAAUGGGCGGAAGCCUGAUGCAGCAACGCCGCGUGAGGGAUGACGGCCUUCGGGUUGUAAACCUCUUUUAGCAGGGAAGAAGCGAGAGUGACGGUACCUGCAGAAAAAGCGCCGGCUAACUACGUGCCAGCAGCCGCGGUAAUACGUAGGGCGCAAGCGUUAUCCGGAAUUAUUGGGCGUAAAGAGCUCGUAGGCGGUUUGUCGCGUCUGCUGUGAAAUCCCGAGGCUCAACCUCGGGCCUGCAGUGGGUACGGGCAGACUAGAGUGCGGUAGGGGAGAUUGGAAUUCCUGGUGUAGCGGUGGAAUGCGCAGAUAUCAGGAGGAACACCGAUGGCGAAGGCAGAUCUCUGGGCCGUAACUGACGCUGAGGAGCGAAAGGGUGGGGAGCAAACAGGCUUAGAUACCCUGGUAGUCCACCCCGUAAACGUUGGGAACUAGUUGUGGGGACCAUUCCACGGUUUCCGUGACGCAGCUAACGCAUUAAGUUCCCCGCCUGGGGAGUACGGCCGCAAGGCUAAAACUCAAAGGAAUUGACGGGGACCCGCACAAGCGGCGGAGCAUGCGGAUUAAUUCGAUGCAACGCGAAGAACCUUACCAAGGCUUGACAUACACCAGAACACCGUAGAAAUACGGGACUCUUUGGACACUGGUGAACAGGUGGUGCAUGGUUGUCGUCAGCUCGUGUCGUGAGAUGUUGGGUUAAGUCCCGCAACGAGCGCAACCCUCGUUCUAUGUUGCCAGCACGUAAUGGUGGGAACUCAUGGGAUACUGCCGGGGUCAACUCGGAGGAAGGUGGGGAUGACGUCAAAUCAUCAUGCCCCUUAUGUCUUGGGCUUCACGCAUGCUACAAUGGCCGGUACAAAGGGCUGCAAUACCGUGAGGUGGAGCGAAUCCCAAAAAGCCGGUCCCAGUUCGGAUUGAGGUCUGCAACUCGACCUCAUGAAGUCGGAGUCGCUAGUAAUCGCAGAUCAGCAACGCUGCGGUGAAUACGUUCCCGGGUCUUGUACACACCGCCCGUCAAGUCAUGAAAGUCGGUAACACCUGAAGCCGGUGGCCCAACCCUUGUGGAGGGAGCCGUCGA
rnacentral:rRNA from 3 species